rnacentral:misc_RNA from 1 species
GAUGAAGAACGUAGCGAAAUGCGAUAAGUAAUGUGAAUUGCAGAAUUCAGUGAAUCAUCGAAUCUUUGAACGCACCUUGCGCUCCUUGGUAUUCCGAGGAGCAUGCCUGUUCGAGCGUCAUUAUAACCACUCAAGCUUUCGCUUGGUAUUGGGGCUCGCGGUUCCGCGGCCCCUAAAAUCAGUGGCGGUGCCUGUCGGCUCUACGCGUAGUAAUACUCCUCGCGAUUGAGUCCGGUAGGUCUACUUGCCAGCAACCCCCAAUUUUUACAGGUUGACCUCGGAUCAGGUAGGGAUACCCGCUGAACUUAAGCAUAUCAAUAAGCGGAGGA